rnacentral:lncRNA from 1 species
AAGGGAAAUAAAAAGAGGCAAGCAAAAAAUUACUGCUGUUCAUGAUGUAGGAAACAUGAAUGAGUCUAAGAUGUGCCAUUUUUUGCUUUUGGAAACUUAUUAAUUGAAGGCUUGGAAUGCCCAGCUUUGACUGAGGAGUCAAGAGUGCUGCUGAUUGACGUAGUUUGUGGUCAAAUAUUGCCACGGUGUCAAAAAGCCUCAGCUAGGUCUGAGUAAAACAUGGUUAUUAUGAGAAUCCUGGAAAGAUUUCUAUCCCAUCCAAGUCCAGAAAAUCUCGUGCCUUAUAUGAGUUCCUGCAGUGUUGAAGACUUUAACCUUGAAGAACUUGGUGCAAUACAUCUCUCCAAGCCCCAUCCAUGACUGACUAUAUGCCAACAACUCCCUGCAGCUGCAGAUAUGCCAGGCACUCUCUCUGGGGGCAGCAAAGACAGGCUACACUUGACCUGAUCUGCAUCGUUCACUGGAUCCAACAUCUGCGUCAUGAUACCAGCGGUCAGGUGUUUCAUUUUCCCCUUCAUUUUGUCACUUUGUCGCUGCCAAAAGAGGGUAACAACAGAGUGUGAAAUAAACCAAUGAAAUAUGCCA